UGGGGAAUAUUGGACAAUGGGCGGAAGCCUGAUCCAGCAACGCCGCGUGAGGGAUGACGGCCUUCGGGUUGUAAACCUCUUUCAGUACCGACGAAGCGAAAGUGACGGUAGGUACAGAAGAAGGACCGGCCAACUACGUGCCAGCAGCCGCGGUAAUACGUAGGGUCCGAGCGUUGUCCGGAAUUAUUGGGCGUAAAGGGCUCGUAGGCGGUUUGUCGCGUCGGGAGUGAAAACAGCGGGCUUAACUCGUUGCUUGCUUUCGAUACGGGCAGACUAGAGGUAUGCAGGGGAGAAUGGAAUUCCUGGUGUAGCGGUGAAAUGCGCAGAUAUCAGGAGGAACACCGGUGGCGAAGGCGGUUCUCUGGGCAUUACCUGACGCUGAGGAGCGAAAGUGUGGGGAGCGAACAGGAUUAGAUACCCUGGUAGUCCACACCGUAAACGUUGGGCGCUAGGUGUGGGGUCCUUUCCACGGAUUCCGUGCCGUAGCUAACGCAUUUAAGCGCCCCGCCUGGGGAGUACGGCCGCAAGCUAAAACUC
rnacentral:rRNA from 1 species